AGUGAACGCUGGCGGCAGGCCUAACACAUGCAAGUCGAACGGCAGCACAAGAGAGCUUGCUCUCUGGGUGGCGAGUGGCGGACGGGUGAGGAAUGCAUCGGAAUCUGCCCAUUUGUGGGGGAUAACCUCGGGAAACCGGGACUAAUACCGCAUACGACCUACGGGUGAAAGCAGGGGAUCUUCGGACCUUGCGCAGAUGGAUGAGCCGAUGCCGGAUUAGCUAGUUGGAGGGGUAAAGGCCCACCAAGGCGACGAUCCGUAGCUGGUCUGAGAGGAUGAUCAGCCACACUGGGACUGAGACACGGCCCAGACUCCUACGGGAGGCAGCAGUGGGGAAUAUCGGACAAUGGGCGCAAGCCUGAUCCAGCCAUGCCGCGUGUGUGAAGAAGGCCUUCGGGUUGUAAAGCACUUUUGUUGGGAAAGAAAAGCAGCCGGUUAAUACCCGGUUGUCAUGACGGUACCCAAAGAAUAAGCACCGGCUAACUUCGUG
rnacentral:rRNA from 1 species